rnacentral:rRNA from 1 species
UACGGAGGGGCUAGCGUUAUUCGGAAUUAUUGGGCGUAAAGGGCGUGUAGGCGGCUUCGUGUGUCCCAUGUGAAAGCCCUCGGCUCAACCGGGGAACUGCAUGGGAAACUGCGUGGCUUGAGUCCGGGAGAGGUGAGUGGAAUUCCCAGUGUAGAGGUGAAAUGCGUAGAUAUUGGGAGGAACACCGGUGGCGAAGGCGGCUCACUGGACCGGUACUGACGCUGAGACGCGAAAAGCGUGGGGAGCAAACAGGG